rnacentral:lncRNA from 1 species
AGUUCGCUCCGACUGCCCGAGCGAGGGCGCUUCGCUCCCAGCCAGGACAUGGCCGCACCUCUCCGCAUCAGGAGCGCCGGCUCACGGACUUCUCGCCCAACUCCCUGAGCGCUCCCUCGUUUCGAUCUUUAGAAAACCCCGCUUUCUUUCUGGGGCCGUGACGAGGGGCAGGGAGCGGCGAGCAAGGAUGCGUUGAGGACCGCGAGGGCGCGCGUCUCGGGUGCCGCCGUGGGUCCCGACGCGGAAGCCGAGCCGCCUCCGCCUGCCUCGACUUCCCCACAGCGCUUCCGCCGCCGCCUGCCGUGCUUGAUGUGCAGAAAGAAGCCGGACACCAUGAUCCUAACACAAAUUGAAGCCAAGGAAGCUUGUGAUUGGCUACGGGCAACUGGUUUCCCCCAGUAUGCACAGCUUUAUGAAGAUUUCCUGUUCCCCAUCGAUAUUUCCUUGGUCAAGAGAGAGCAUGAUUUUUUGGACAGAGAUGCCAUUGAGGCUCUAUGCAGAGUGACGAUUCAGACGAGGAUGAGCCUUGUGCCAUCAGUGGCAAAUGGACUUUCCAAAGGGACAGCAAGAGGUGGUCCCGGC